rnacentral:rRNA from 1 species
GAUGAACGCUGGCGGCGUGCCUAAUACAUGCAAGUCGAGCGAACAGACGAGGAGCUUGCUCCUCUGACGUUAGCGGCGGACGGGUGAGUAACACGUGGAUAACCUACCUAUAAGACUGGGAUAACUUCGGGAAACCGGAGCUAAUACCGGAUAAUAUAUUGAACCGCAUGGUUCAAUAGUGAAAGACGGUUUUGCUGUCACUUAUAGAUGGAUCCGCGCCGCAUUAGCUAGUUGGUAAGGUAACGGCUUACCAAGGCAACGAUACGUAGCCGACCUGAGAGGGUGAUCGGCCACACUGGAACUGAGACACGGUCCAGACUCCUACGGGAGGCAGCAGUAGGGAAUCUUCCGCAAUGGGCGAAAGCCUGACGGAGCAACGCCGCGUGAGUGAUGAAGGUCUUCGGAUCGUAAAACUCUGUUAUUAGGGAAGAACAAAUGUGUAAGUAACUAUGCACGUCUUGACGGUACCUAAUCAGAAAGCCACGGCUAACCACGUG